UACGAAGGGGGCUAGCGUUGCUCGGAAUCACUGGGCGUAAAGGGUGCGUAGGCGGGGCUUUAAGGCAGGGGGGAAAUCCUGGAGCUCAACUCCAGAACUGCCUUUGAUACUGAGGAUCUUGAGUACGGGAGAGGUGAGUGGAACUGCGAGUGUAGAGGUGAAAUUCGUAGAUAUUCGCAAGAACACCAGUGGCGAAGGCGGCUCACUGGCCCGUUACUGACGCUGAGGCACGAAAGCGUGGGGAGCAAACAGG
rnacentral:rRNA from 1 species